AAAUGGAGAUGAUUUAGUACUAUAGGUACUCUCUCUAGAAGUGGCCGUUAGAUAUUCAUCUGUCCACAGUGAGACAAACUGUCUAUAAAUGGAGAUGAUUUAGUACUAUAGGUACUCUCACUAGAAGUGGCCGUUAGAUAUUCAUCUGUCCACAGUGAGACAAACUGUCUAUAAAUGGAGAUGAUUUAGUACUAUAGGUACUCUCUCUAGAAGUGGCCGUUAGAUAUUCAUCUGUCCACAGUUAGACAAACUGUCUAUAAAUGGAGAUGAUUUAGUACUAUAGGUACUCUCACUAGAAGUGGCCGUUAGAUAUUCAUCUGUCCACAGUGAGACAAACUGUCUAUAAAUGGAGAUGAUUUAGUACUAUAGGUACUCUCUCUAGAAGUGGCCGUUAGAUAUUCAUCUGUGCACAGUUAGACAAACUGUCUAUAAAUGGAGAUGAUUUAGUACUAUAGGUACUCUCACUAGAAGUGGCCGUUAGAUAUUCAUCUGUCCACAGUUAGACAAACUGUCUAUAAAUGGAGAUGAUUUAGUACUAUAGGUACUCUCUCUAGAAGUGGCCGUUAGAUAUUCAUCUGUCCACAGUUAGACAAACUGUCUAUAAAUGGAGAUGAUUUAGUACUAUAGGUACUCUCUCUAGAAGUGGCCGUUAGAUAUUCAUCUGUCCACAGUGAGACAAACUGUCUAUAAAUGGAGAUGAUUUAGUACUAUAGGUACUCUCUCUAGAAGUGGCCGUUAGAUAUUCAUCUGUCCACAGUGAGACAAACUGUCUAUAAAUGGAGAUGAUUUAGUACUAUAGGUACUCUCACUAGAAGUGGCCGUUAGAUAUUCAUCUGUCCACAGUUAGACAAACUGUCUAUAAAUGGAGAUGAUUUAGUACUAUAGGUACUCUCACUAGAAGUGGCCGUUAGAUAUUCAUCUGUCCACAGUUAGACAAACUGUCUAUAAAUGGAGAUGAUUUAGUACUAUAGGUACUCUCACUAGAAGUGGGCGUUAGAUAUUCAUCUGUCCACAGUUAG